AAAAAUUAAAAUAAAUAAUAAAUAAAAAUGCCUCACCCUAUAUCCCUGAUGGGGAAGGAAAUGGAUUAGGGCUUUGGAGGAGGAGAACGUGGGACGAUUAUUGGCCAUGAAAGAUUUGAAGGCACCAUUGGUAAAAGUAGUGGGAACCACUAAGUGUCAGAUAAAGAUGAUGUAAAUUGUUACAACCGGGCCGACAAAAGACUACAAACAUGGCCGCCGCUCACAAACUUACCGGCUACAGCGCCAUCUUCUGGUUGGAUGCCGUCAUGACCGAGGGUAUGCAGGCCCCUCAGCAAAUGUUACCCACUUAAGGUGAACCCCAAGGAACAAAGGGGAAUGAAAAGGUGGAGAGUUGAAAAUGAACAAGAAAAAGAAGGCAUGUGGACAUUAUAUUAUGAACUAUUGUGGUGGAAGUCAUUCUUCUUAAAGUCAAGCAGAAUUGAAGGAGGUGGUGGGAUUGUCAUUUAUUUCCAACCCCCGAUUCAGCAAACAGUUGGUCUCUGCGGUCAAUGUCAAUGAACAAAGCCCCUGGUUGAAAAGACUGAAAUAAGUGAUGAACUGACACAAAAUUAAAAACCAAGGAGCUGUUGGCACAGAGUCCCCAUCUCGACUUGCCAAUCCAUUCUGUGAAAGCAGAGAACUGGGAUCUUGUAAAAUCAUGGAAGGAAGAAAAGCUGCAACCAAAGUGGACUGGACCCUACCUUGUGUUAUUAAUCACCGAGACAGCAGUACGAACAAAAGAAAAAGGGUGGACACACGCAAACCGAUUUAAGGGUCCUGUGGAGGCCCCACCGGACAAUAUCAGCCCGUAGACUGUGCUUGAAGGGAAGGAACCAUUGACUUUGUGCCUAUUCGGAUGUUGUAUUAUUCCCUGCGCUGGCCUUCAGAACACAGUAUGACUAGCGAGAGGAGGAUAGGGAGGCGAAGAAUCUGCUGCUAGCACUAGAAAAGGAAGAUAUAGUAUAAUUCAAAAGAUGCGUAGCAAAAAGAAAAA